rnacentral:tRNA from 1 species
UAGCAUAGUGGUAUUGCGUUCGCUUCGUAAGCGAAAGGUCGUGAGUUCGAUCCUUUU